GACGAACGCUGGCGGCGUGCUUAACACAUGCAAGUCGAACGCUGAAGCUCAGCUUUUGUUGGGUGGAUGAGUGGCGAACGGGUGAGUAACACGUGAGUAACCUGCCCCCUUCUUUGGGAUAACGCCCGGAAACGGGUGCUAAUACUGGAUAUUCACUGGUCUUCGCAUGGGGGUUGGUGGAAAGGGUUUUUCUGGUGGGGGAUGGGCUCGCGGCCUAUCAGCUUGUUGGUGGGGUGAUGGCCUACCAAGGCUUUGACGGGUAGCCGGCCUGAGAGGGUGACCGGUCACAUUGGGACUGAGAUACGGCCCAGAAUCCUACGGGAGGCAGCAGUGGGGAAUAUUGCACAAUGGGCGCAAGCCUGAUGCAGCGACGCCGCGUGAGGGAUGGAGGCCUUCGGGUUGUGAACCUCUUUCGCUCAUGGUCAAGCCGCAACAAUAGUUGUGGUGAGGGUAGUGGGUAAAGAAGCGCCGGCUAACUACGUG
rnacentral:rRNA from 1 species